GCAUGCAAAGAAAGUGUGAAAGAAGGAAGAGACGCGCCCUCCAGUGCUAGGUGACACUUGUCUGGGCAGAGCAUGCGCUAGCAAAACCUGACGCAUCGUCGUGUACACCAUAGAAAAAAGAAGUCCCCAUCUGUGUUUUUUUUAUAGAGUUAAAGGGUGCCCGAAACAGUUCGGACAAAUUUUGUAGACAAGUAGG
rnacentral:lncRNA from 1 species